AUUGGUGAUGGAUUGGUUUUUAGGAUUUGAAUUGAGAUUUGUUAAUGGGUUUGGGGGUUAUUAGAGGGGAAUGAGAGAUGGUUUUGGAUGGCAACGUUAGAGUUGAUGAUUUGGGGUUUGUUGUUUCAGAUUUGAUGAAUUUGGGGGGGUUUUGCGUGUGAGUUGUGGAUGCACUUCCAUAAAAAAAAGGUUUGUUUCACAUGUCUUGAAACAAUAGAGAAAUGCUUAUUUCAGUGAAUAAGAAAAUGCUUCUACAUGUAUGAUUUGUACAUGAUCUUGUGCUUAUUCUGUGAAUCAAAAAUGCAUCUACAAGUAUAAUUUACACAUGAUCUUGUGCUUAUUUCAGUUUUAUUAUUACCAUUUGGUUAUUAGCAUUGGAAUAUUGGUAUCAAUUGAUCUAUCAUUGCCUCUUUGGGAUAGCUAUGUUGUGCAUGUAUCUAGUUGUCAUGCUAGUUGAUGGGAGUUGCAUAUAAUUUUUCUUUUUCUUUUAAUUAUUGAAUUUCUACUCUGAUGUUUCUUCUUUUAUGUAUUUGUUUAAAACAUUUUUUGAGGUGUAGAGAGAUGUGGCUUGUAGGCAUUCUUGAUGACUUGGACCAAAGAAAUGUUUAUGAGUACUUAAAAGGAAUGGUGAAUUGUCAUAGGAUGCAUCUUUUUGAUGUUGUUAAUCAAUAUAGAGCCAUAUUCUCCGAUGAUACAUCUGGAAGUGAAGAGAACUAUGAUGGUGGCCUUCUUUUUAGUUAGGCUAUGCAUCAAAUUACUUCUCACCUGAACACUUUAAAGACCAUGCUCCCCAAGAUUACUAAAGGUAGAUCACUUUCAAAUAUCCUUGAUCAGUGCAUGGAGGGAUAGCUUCCAAUGAUGUGUAUCAAGAUCAGAUUCAAACCCAGACUUGUACAAGUCAGCUAAUGCACCUGCCACCACAUGUGCCAACAUGGCAAACAGGAGGAACGAUUGGAAUCAGCACCAGGUAUAAUUGAUUAACCGUCUGAUAAUGGACUUUUCCCUUCCAGACACAACCUGAGCAAAGGCGGUAGUACAAUCAUUGGUGGAACUAUAGCAUCUGAUUUUGAUAUAAGAGAUGUAAUUUAUAGCUGAGGUAUUGUUGGUGCUUCAUUAGAAGAAGAGAUUGUCUUCUUUUUUUUGCAUUACUUUAAUAUUGUAGUUUUCUUUUCUUCUGCUUUAUAAUUUCAAAUUGUGUGUCAAAUAUUUGGA